CUGCCCCAAAAGGAUUUUGUCAGACCAAGGCAGAGUGUUUGUGAAUGAACUCAACUCUGAUCUUUGCAAGUUAUUGCAAAUUGAAAGAAGUGUCACAGCAGCAUACCAUCCACAGACCAAUGGUCUAGAUGAAAAGACCAAUGACAACAUAAAAAGAGCCCUCCGAAAACUGGUGAAUGACCAGCAGAAUAACUGGGAUCUGUAUCUAGAGCCCACCCUGUUUUCACUUCGGUCAAAAGUACACACCACAACAAAAUACACACCUUUUUUUCUGAUGUAUGGAAGAGAGGCAGUAUUUCCAUCAGAAGUGCCUGCUCAAGUGCCGUGAAGUGGCUUUGGGCUGCAAAAGACACCGGGCGUGUGGAGGCAGUCGUUGGGCCAUACAAAUUGUAUGACUCUUCUUUUCGCACA